rnacentral:rRNA from 1 species
UACGAGGGGGGCAAGCGUUGUUCGGAAUUAUUGGGCGUAAAGGGUGCGUAGGCGGUCUGAUAAGUCAUCUGUGAAAUCUAUGGGCUCAACCCAUAGUCUGCAGGCGAAACUGUCGGGCUUGAGUAUGGGAGAGGUGAGUGGAAUUUCCGGUGUAGCGGUGAAAUGCGUAGAUAUCGGAAGGAACACCUGUGGCGAAAGCGGCUCACUGGACCAUUACUGACGCUGAGGCACGAAAGCUAGGGGAGCAAACAG